GGUUCCUGAAUCGAGCACCAAAGCUUAGUCGCUUUAGAAGCACAGCUGAAGAGUGUCCCAGUGCAGAAGCCAAGAUGAUGUCUGUCAGCUCUGCUUUGUUUCUGCUGUGCCUGAGCCUGUGGGGUAGCAGUGAAACAUCAGGAAUGACCAUCCCUUGGGAGGUUUCGACGACAACUCGGUCAACAACUGCCGCCACUGAAGAUAGUACUUUACUUGGCCUGACAACUAAUGUCACUGAUGAUAGUACUUUACUUCCCCUGACAACUAAUGCCACUGAUGAUAGUACUUUACUUCCCCUGACAACUAAUGCCACUGAUGAUAGUACUUUACUUCCCCUGACAACUAAUGUCACUGAUUAUAGUACUUUACUUGACCUGACAACUAAUGUCACUGAUUAUAGUACUUUACUUGGCCUGACAACUAAUGUCACUGAUGAUAGUACUUUACUUGACCUGACAACUACCUCCAUUGAUGAUAGUACUUUACUUGGCCUUGAUUAUUAAUGCCACUGAUGAUAGUACUUUACUUGGCCUGACAACUACCUCCACUGAUGAUAGUACUUUACUUGGCCUGACAACUACCUCCAUUGAUGAUAGUACUUUACUUGGCCUUGAUUACUAAUGCCACUGAUGAUAGUACUUUACUUGGCCUGACAACUAAUGCCACUGAUGAUAGUACUUUACUUGGCCUGAUAACUUCCGCCACUGAUGAUAGUACUUAACUUGGCCUAACAACUUCUGCCACUGAUGAUAGUACUUUACUUGGCCUAACAACUUCCGCCACUGAUGAUAGUACUUAACUUGGCCUAACAACUUCCGCCACUGAUGAUAGUACUUUACUUGGCCUAACAACUUCCGCCACUGAUGAUAGUACUUUACUUGGCAUGACAACUGCCGCCACUGAUGAUAGUUUCUUUACUUGGCCUAACAACUGUCGCCACUGAUUCGUCGACUGGAUAAAGACCACCACACAAGGAUCCACUGAUCAAUGUAGCCCACCUACAGGAUGAAGCCCAACUUCACCAAAUGGUAAUAUCGGCAACCUGGCUCACCAUCUUCUUCAGGAAUACAUUUUUCGAAGCUCUUUUUCCUUCAUCAGCAUCAGCACUAUAGCUUACUUGAAAUUUAGCACUAAAUCUGACAUUUUUGUUUGAUUUUCAGCACUAAAUCUGAAAUUUUAUCUUCCAAAUUUAGCACUAAAUCUGAAAUGUUUUCUUCCAAGAGCUAUGUACCUACCUUUUGAUUAAAUAAAAUUAUUUGCAAUCUUGA